GACGAACGCUGGCGGCGUGCUUAACACAUGCAAGUCGAACGGAAAGACCCUGCUUUUGUGGGGUGCUCGAGUGGCGAACGGGUGAGUAACACGUGAGUAACCUGCCCUUGACUUUGGGAUAACUUCAGGAAACUGGGGCUAAUACCGGAUAGGAGCUCCUGCUGCAUGGUGGGGGUUGGAAGGUUUCGGCGGUUGGGGAUGGACUCGCGGCUUAUCAGCUUGUUGGUGGGGUAGUGGCUUACCAAGGCUUUGACGGGUAGCCGGCCUGAGAGGGUGACCGGCCACAUUGGGACUGAGAUACGGCCCAGACUCCUACGGGAGGCAGCAGUGGGGAAUAUUGCACAAUGGGCGGAAGCCUGAUGCAGCAACGCCGCGUGCGGGAUGACGGCCUUCGGGUUGUAAACCGCUUUCGCCUGUGACGAAGCGUGAGUGACGGUAAUGGGUAAAGAAGCACCGGCUAACUACGUG
rnacentral:rRNA from 1 species